GGGGAUUUAGCUCAGUGGUAGAGCGCUUGCCUAGCGAGCGCAAAGGCCCUGGGUUCGGUCCCCAGCUCCG
rnacentral:tRNA from 1 species